AUUGAACUCUGGCGGCAGGCUUAACACAUGCAAGUCGAGCGAGCGGCGGACGGGUGCGUAAUGUCUGGGAAACUGCCUGAUGGAGGGGGCUAACUACUGGAAACGGUAGCUAAUACCGCAUACCAUCAGAUGUGCCCAGGUGGGUUUAGCUAGUAGGUGGGGUGAUGGCUCACCUAGGCGACGAGCCCUAGCUGGUCUGAGAGGCUGACCAGCCACACUGGAACUGAGACACGGUCCAGACGCCUACGGGAGGCAGCAGUGGGGAAUAGUGCACAAUGGGCGCAAGCCUGAUGCAGCCAUGCCGCGUGUGUGAAGAAGGCCUUCGGGUUGUAAAGCACUUUCAGCGAGGAGGCGUUACUCGCAGAAGAAGCACCGGCUAACUCCGUGCCAGCAGCCGCGGUAAUUC
rnacentral:rRNA from 1 species